GAUUAGAGUUUGAUCCUGGCUCAGGACGAACGCUGGCGGCGUGCUUAACACAUGCAAGUCGUAACAAGGUAACCGUAAGUCGUAACAAGGUAACCGUAGAGUUUGAUCAUGGCUCAGAAGUCGUGACAAGGUAGCCGUAAGUCGUAACAAGGCAACCGUAGAGUUUGAUCCUGGCUCAGGAUAAGUCGUAACAAGGUAGCCGUAAGUCGUAACAAGGUAACCGUAAGUCGUAACAAGGUAACCGUAGAGUUUGAUCCUGGCUCAGCCUUUGACUUAAAAAAAUGGAGAAGUCGUACAAGGA
rnacentral:rRNA from 1 species